CUCUCACCGUGGGUAAAUUAUUCGAAAUUUUACCUAAUCAUGAAUAUAUAGUUGUUUAGAACCACUAUACAAACAGAUGUAGAGUGUAUUCAGGACAAAAUAGGCCUUAUAGUCAUAUUUUUCCCAGGGGUGCCCCACCUUGAAAAAUUGGAAAAACUGGUUUUCUAGUGGUUUUUUGGGGAUUUUCUCUAUUUUAUAAUCUUCAAAAUAAAUCAAAUCAGAAUUUUUAUAGGUUAUAUAGUAAUUUAAAAGUACCUGAGUCCUUUAGGACAUUCAAAAAUGGGACAAACACAUUUAAAUCACCAAAAAAGGCCCCCCAAAACCCCCCGUUUUUUAAGUUGUGAAUGAUUCUAAGAAAUAUUUUUGAAUAUCUAUGGUUUUUAUACAUAAUUGCAUUUAAAUGACAAAAUUAUUUUGAUUCCAUUUUUUUUUGUUUUCUUUUGAUGAAAUAAAACAAAUCUAAUCAAAUACAAAACAUGAAUUGACUGAAAAGAAAAGGUAAGUACAUAAUAUUUUUUAUAUAACUUCUUUAGGCGCAAUUUUGGGAAAAAUGUUGAGAGUGAUUUUUAUAAAAGCGACAGUAUGAAGUACGAGCAUACCGACAGUACGAAGUUAGUUGCUAAAUCUUAAAUCUUUCAAGUUAUGUAUCAAUGCAAAUAAAGUGUGAAAAAAAUA